rnacentral:tRNA from 1 species
GGGGAUGUGGCUCAGUGGUAGAGCACUCGCCUACUAUGCCUGCAGCCCUGGGUUCAAUCCCCAGCACUACAA